CACCACAGCGCCAAACCAUCGCGCCACCACCACCGCCGUGGCGGCAUCGUUUUGGCAAAGCGAACAUUUCUGUCGUGCGAAAACAACAAAAAUCCCUCCCCAAGCUCUGCGGUGCUGUACAUAUAAAGGAGUUAUCGGGUCAACAUUGUAUCCCGUACGGAAGGGACAGAUGAUAUUAAACCGCAAUUUAUUGUACCUCUGUUCGCAAUAAUUACCUCGCUCAACGACAACAACAAUAUUCACGAAUACUAUUCAUGUACACUGUUAUUUUAUCCCAACCAGUGAGAAAUCUCCAAGCGAGACUCGGCGCUCUGGCUGCCUUGGCGACUGCGGCGAUGCCAUUCCACGCGGGCCCUCCCACCCUGCCCUCGAUUUUUUAAAUCGUUCGCUCCUCAGCGCUUUACUUCAAGACGCCGAUAAAUUAUGCAUUUGUCCGUCCACGGCGGCACACAUUCAAGCACUUGGGCCAAGCUGGACACGUGAUCCUAGGUGCAGGAGCACCGCCUGCACCGCCUCAACAGCUGUGCAUCGCCGAUGUGGAGUGGAAACGUCCGGCUUCUGCCGACAGCCAAGAGAGUCGAGCGAGAGCGCUCCGCGGGAGAGACGCCUGGCGCGCCGACUGCAUGGGGCUGUGCGAAGGGCGCCGUGCACGUUGAGCGCACGGCACGCGAAGGUCUACCAGGCUCGCCUCGCGGCGGACAUCUGGGAGCGCCGCCGCUGGGUUCUGCGUGGCAACGCGCCCCCAGCGCUCGAUUCAAGAGCUGUGCGGGCCACCGCUGUCAGCAGGAACUCGCACUUCCUGCCUCGUCUCCAGACCCGGUCUGCCAGUGACGUCCCCGCGUGUUUCCCUAAUCGAACGUAAAGAAUGACGUGAGGAUGACGUUGGGGAUGAUGAUGAUGAUGAGUGUGAUGAUAGUCAAGAUGAUGUUGACGGUGAUGUUGCUGAUGAUUAUUUUGGUGGUGGUGAUGUUGAUGUGGAUGAUGAGGCUGAUGGUGAUGAUGGCGAGGAUGUUGAAGAUGACGUGUGAGGACGGCGAAGCUCGCGACGAUUGUAAAGGCGAUGUAGAUGGUGCUGAUCAAGGUAUUAUUUGGGUGAUGGUAGUGCGAAUGGUGGUGAUGAUUGCGAGCUGCAGGAGGCUGAAGGAAAAGUUAUUUUCUGGGAGAAAUUGGAAAACUCGAAGAACAAAGUAAGAAAUGCGUUGUUGAAGAAGCUGACUUUAGAAAUCACGCCUUAUCGGCGUUUGACGCUUGUUAUAAUACGUCGGGCUCAAAACUUUGUGCAGAUAAACUGUUUUUUCUUUUCCGAAUUUCAGAAAUAAGAUUGAAAAAAAUAUUAUAUUAGUUUUUGGUUCGGUGAGAAACAUGAUUAAUUUGUGUUCGUUUUUUUGUAUUAUUAUAAACUACUUCUGCAAAGUACAAUCUCGGUUCCCACCAACUCUUGUGGUGACUAAUCUUACCUGCUGAGAGCCUGUACACAGUGACACACACACACGCACACGCGCACACAACGACAAAGAUCCCCCGUGAAGCCUUAACACACCGUUGGGGCAAGUGCUGUUUGCGUGUAGCAGCACCUAUGAAGGCCCGCUCGGUACACGAGGGGGUGUGUGGCCAGCACCAUGCACAGCCGCCUUUGUCUCCCCAGUGACUAUGUAUAUACAUCGCGCCAGGAACUCAUUUAAGGUUGAGUCGACCUUGGGGAAACCCAGGACCGGUUCGAUUAUUUGCCACUGGUA